rnacentral:rRNA from 1 species
GAUGAACGCUAGCGGGAGGCUUAACACAUGCAAGUCGAGGGGUAAAUGGCAGCAAUGCUAUGAGACCGGCGGACGGGUGCGUAACGCGUGAGCAACAUGCCCUAUACAGGGGGAUAAUCCAGGGAAACUUGGUCUAAUAUCCCAUAGUAUUUAGAGGAGGCAUCUUCUAUAAAUUAAAGCUUCGGUGGUAUAGGAUUGGCUCGCGUGACAUUAGCUAGAUGGUGAGGUAACGGCUCACCAUGGCAAUGAUGUCUAGGGGUUCUGAGAGGAAGGCCCCCCACACUGGGACUGAGACACGGCCCAGACUCCUACGGGAGGCAGCAGUGAGGAAUAUUGGACAAUGGAUGGAAAUCUGAUCCAGCCAUGCCGCGUGCAGGAAGACAGCCCUAUGGGUUGUAAACUGCUUUUAUAUGGGAGCAAUAAGGUCUACGUGUAGACUGAUGAGAGUACCAUAUGAAUAAGCAUCGG